rnacentral:misc_RNA from 1 species
CAGAGUUAGCAAACUCCCAACCCUAUGUGAACGUUACCAACUUGCAGUUGCCUCGGCGGGGUCACGCCCCGGUGCGUAAGAGCCCUGACCAGCGCCCCGGAGGAACAGACCAAACUCUUUCUGUAGUCCCUCCGACGUAUUUCUACGCUUAGCAUAUUCAAUAAUGAUCA